rnacentral:rRNA from 1 species
GUCCUUUAGUAAUUAUAAUUUAAGGUCUAACCUGCCCAUUGAUAAAUUUAAAAGGCCGCAGUAAUUUGACUGUGCAAAGGUAGCAUAAUCAUUAGUUUUUUAAUUAAAAGCUUGUAUGAAUGGUUGGACGAGAUAAAAUCUGUCUCUUAAUAAAAUUUAGAAUUUAAUUUUUAAGUUAAAAAGCUUAAAUAAAAAUAAAAGACGAGAAGACCCUAUAGAUCUUUAUAUAAUUUUUUUUAGUAUUAAUUUAGAAGAUUUUAUUUAUUAUAAAAAAUUUUAUUUUAUUGGGGUAAUAAAAAGAUUAAAAAAAUUCUUUUUAAUUAAACAAUGAUUAUUGAUUAAAUGAUCCAUUAUUAAUGAUUAAAAGAUUAAGUUACCUUAGGGAUAACAGCGUAAUUUUUUUAAAGAGUUCUUAUCAAUAAAAAAGUUUGCGACCUCGAUGUUGGAUUAAAAUUAAUCCUAGGUGUAGAAGUUUAGGAUUUUGGUCUGUUCGACCAUUAAAUUUUU